rnacentral:rRNA from 1 species
UACGAAGGGGGCUAGCGUUGUUCGGAAUGACUGGGCGUAAAGGGCGCGUAGGCGGCGUGUCAAGUCAGGCGUGAAAGCCCCGGGCUCAACCUGGGAACCGCGCUUGAGACUGGCAUGCUCGAGUUCGGGAGAGGAUGGUGGAAUUCCCAGUGUAGAGGUGAAAUUCGUAGAUAUUGGGAAGAACACCGAUGGCGAAGGCAGCCAUCUGGACCGACACUGACGCUGAGGCGCGAAAGCUAGGGGAGCAAACGGG